rnacentral:misc_RNA from 1 species
GAAAUCUUCAAAGCAAACCUUUUGUUAAUUCAAUCGGUCUCUUGCUUUGGUAUUGGAGGUCUUUGCAGCUUCACACCUGCUCCUCUUUGUUCAUUAGCUGGAUCUCAGUGUUAUGCUUGGUUCCACUCGGCGUGAUAAGUUAUCUAUCGCUGAGGACACCGUAAAAAAGUGGCCAAGGUAAAUGCAGACGAACCGCUUCUAAUAGUCCAUUGACUUGGACAAUUAAAUUUUUAUGAUCUGAUCUCAAAUCAGGUAGGACUACCCGCUGACUUAA